GUUACAGGGGCUGCUCAGACUGAAAGCCAGCGGAUUCCAGGGGAGUGAUAACACCUCACUUAACACUGCUCACCCAGAGCGGAGGUCGGGAGGCUGCUGGAGAGCUGCAGGAUAUGACCCCAAAGGAGCCCCGAGGGGCUGGGCCUGCUCAGGAGGAAGAUCAGAAUCCCCUUCAAGAAAGUAUGGUCAGCCCCGCUUCCAGGCCCCUGCAGCAAGCCACUGACUCGGCCCUGGAGAUGGAUGCAAAAGGGAGAAGCCUCAUUCGACAGGAGGCCAGUCCUGAGAACAGGGAGCCCCUAGGCAGAGAAGCUGCAGGAAUAUCAUAGACUAUUCUACAGUUUCCAUCAGUAG